AUUGAACGCUGGCGGCAUGCCUAACACAUGCAAGUCGAACGAGUGGCGGACGGGUGAGUAAUGUCUGGGAAACUGCCUGACGUAGGUGGAUAACUACUGGAAACGGUAGCUAAUACCGCAUACCAUCGGAUGUGCCCAGAUGGGAGUAGCUAGUAGGUGGGGUAAAGGCUCACCUGGGCGACGAUCCCUAGCGGGUCUGCGAGGAUGACCGGCCACACUGGAACUGAGACACGGUCCAGACUCCUACGGGAGGAAGCAGGGGGGAAUAUGGCGCAAUGGGCGCAAGCCUGAUGGAGCCAUGCCGCGUGUAUGAAGAAGGCCUUCGGGGUGUAAAGUUCUUUCAGUGGGGAGGCGUUACCCGCAGAAGAAGCACCGGCUAACUCCGUGCCAGCAGCCGCGGUAAUUC
rnacentral:rRNA from 1 species